GACGAACGCUGGCGGCAGGCCUAACACAUGCAAGUCGAACGGUUGUAGCAAUACAGCCGUGGCGCACGGGUGAGUAACGCGUGGGAAUCUGCCCAGUAGUACGGAAUAACAGUUGGAAACGACUGACAAUACCGUAUACGCCCUUCGGGGGAAAGUUUUUCGCUAUUGGAUGAGCCCGCGUCAGAUUAGCUAGUUGGUGGGGUAAUGGCCUACCAAGGCGACGAUCUGUAGCUGUUCUGAGAGGAAGACCAGCCACACUGGAACUGAGACACGGUCCAGACUCCUACGGGAGGCAGCAGUGGGGAACAUUGGACAAUGGGCGAAAGCCUGAUCCAGCCAUGCCGCGUGAGUGAUGAAGGCCUUAGGGUUGUAAAGCUCUUUUGGCGGGGAAGAUAAUGACGGUACCCAAAGAAUAAGCACCGGCUAACUCUGUGCCAGCCGCCGCCGUAA
rnacentral:rRNA from 1 species